GGUCAUUCAGCCCAGCCUCCACACCUGAUCUUUUCUGCUCUUGGAAGCUAAGCAAGUUUGGGCCUGGUUAGUACUUGGAUGGAAGAGCACCUGAGAAAAUUGGACACUAUAAUCU
ensembl:rRNA 5S_rRNA 5S ribosomal RNA